rnacentral:rRNA from 1 species
CCUACGGGAGGCAGCAGUGAGGAAUAUUGGUCAAUGGGCGAGAGCCUGAACCAGCCAAGUCGCGUGAGGGAGUACUGCCCUAUGGGUUGUAAACCUCUUUUGUCGGGGAGCAAAAGCCGGACGUGUCCGGCUGUGAGAGUACCCGAAGAAAAAGCAUCGGCUAACUCCGUGCCAGCAGCCGCGGUAAUACGGAGGAUGCGAGCGUUAUCCGGAUUUAUUGGGUUUAAAGGGUGCGCAGGCGGAUUUUUAAGUAAGCGGUAAAAUCGGGGGGCUCAACCCCAUCCAGCCGUUGAAACUGGGGAUCUAGAGUGUGCGAGAGGUAUGCGGAAUGCGUGGUGUAGCGGUGAAAUGCAUAGAUAUCACGCAGAACCCCGAUUGCGAAGGCAGCAUACCGGUGCACAACUGACGCUCAGGCACGAAAGCGUGGGUAUCGAACAGGAUUAGAUACCCUUGUAGUC